rnacentral:rRNA from 1 species
UACGGGGGGGGCAAGCGUUGUUCGGAAUUACUGGGCGUAAAGGGCUCGUAGGUGGCCAACUAAGUCAGACGUGAAAUCCCUCGGCUUAACCGGGGAACUGCGUCUGAUACUGGAUGGCUUGAGUUUGGGAGAGGGAUGCGGAAUUCCAGGUGUAGCGGUGAAAUGCGUAGAUAUCUGGAGGAACACCGGUGGCGAAGGCGGCGUUCUGGACUGUUUCUGACACUGAAUAACGAAAGCCAGGGGAGCAAACGGG